GCAGAAAGUGAAAAAACAAGAAUUCUAACCCAGACAACUCAGCUUCUACUUCCCUUCUGAGGAAGUUCAUGACAGGGAGCUGCUGCAACUGAUGUGACUUUCAACUCUAAUAUCCCGAUGAUGUAAAUGCACUGAUCAGCUCAGCAGGAUUUAAGGUCUCAUCCGCUGAGCAGUGCCUCCUCCCGAUUCAGCACGUCCCUGGUGCCGACUUUCUGCACGUGUUCACUUUGAGGCUGCAUUGUGGGCCUGCAAGAAAUGCAAAGCUGGUUGAGGCUUUAUUCAAUUCAAAUUCAAGCUGUUAAAUCGAGGCUCUCAGACUCCUGCUGCCUGGCCAGUGGAGAAAUUAACUUUCACAUAUGGCUUUGGGAUUUCUCUCUGUCAUCCUGGUCGACGUGUUCUCUCAUUUUUCUGAAGUCUGGGACCUCAACACAGACAUCUGGGUGAAGGCCUUGACAGCAGCGCUGGUGCAAAAUGAAUUGUCACAUCACACCCAACGUUCUCAACCUUUAGAAUCUGAAAGUAAGAAAAACACCUCAAACAAAACAUUAAAGAUUGAAUAAUUGAAGGCACUAUGCUUGGUGCUGAAGAAGGUCUAAGGAGGUCUACACCACAGAGGCUGCACCCACUCCUCAGCCUUGCUGAGCCACACCAUUCUCAUCUCUACAGCAUCCACCUCUCUUGGCUCUUGUAAGGAUUGAGACAUGCCACCAGGCUUACUAUUGAUUCUGAGUAAUCAGCACAGAUUUCUAAAAGAAACUUUAUGGGAUGCUGAGACAUGAAUAAAAACAACUUUAUUCCUUUGGAAAGGACAACCCACAUGCUAAGAAGAUGACACUACACGUUGUUAUAGCCCGAAAGGCCCUCUUUCCACAGGGGAGCAGUGAAAAGUAGAGGUUGCCCAUGUGGAUUCCCAAGUCAGAUAGAUGUGGAUUCAGAUCCCAGCUCUGCUGCUUGCUACCCAAGAGACCAUGGACUGUGGACUCUUUAGGUCUCAGGGUUUUUGUUUGUUGUCUGUUUUUCACUUCCAAAACCAGAAAAUGAGAAGAUAUUUUCCAUAAGAUGGCGGUGGAGAAGAGAACUUGAUGGACCUUGCUUGGACAAAAUGCCUUCACCGCUAACUCAGUCAGCUAUGGCGAUGGGUCAAGGACCUGGUGGUUUUACAGAGAAGACCCUUGGUCAAAUCUUUGUGAAUGAAGCAACCAUUCUGAUGUUCAAUAACAGGAAUGCACCAGUUUAUACCAAACUAUCUGUACUAUUGAGAACAGCAAAAAUAUCUGACCAAAAACACCAAAGAGUGACAUUUUAAAAGACAUCAAAGAACUCUCAAGGCUUCCAGAGUUGGAAAGAUCAAGAAAGAGAGAAUGCAACUUCAUUAAGACACAAAAAGGAACAGGAUACAGAAGUGGAGGCAGUUCAGCGAAAAAGAUGAGAAGAAGGAGAAUGUCCACAAAUAAAUUUCACUUAUAAAAGUUCAGAUAAAAA
rnacentral:lncRNA from 1 species